AAGGCAAAUUGAAUAGUCGCCCCGAUGAAAAUCGGGGAGGAAAGUCCGGACACUUAUUUCCCGACAAGUCGGGAAGAAGCGUAAUGGGUAAUUCCCAUCUAGGGUGACCUACGGGGUGCGAACAGUGACGUUUUGGGGCGAGAGCGCCAAGAUAUCCUUCGGGAUAAAUUUUAUGGAAACAUAAAAAAUGAAACGGCUAAAUCCCUACGUGAGUGCAAGGUCGUGUUCUGUGUUUUUACAUAAAUACAGAAAGUGCCGCUUGACCCCGAUGGUAACAUCGGGGCUAGAUAAAUGACUAUUCUCGACAAAAUCCGGCUUAUAGAUUUGCCUUGAUA
rnacentral:RNase_P_RNA from 1 species